UAAAAUGUGCUUUCUGAAUUCUUUUUUUUUUUUUUUUUUUUUUUGUUUUUUGUGGUUGAUUUGAGAGUUUACUUCCUCUAUCACAUUCUUAUUAUAAUAAUUAUUUUUGGGUUGUCACAAUGUUGUAGUCAUUAUUCUAAGUGUAAAUGGAGGAGAAUCUUUAGCAGGAGUGGAACUGCAAAUCACGAGUGUAGCUACUAUGAAUACUUGAUAGACUUGACCACAUUGCAAAUCCAAGGUUAAAGCAGUCAUACCAGUACCAGGACUUGGUCUGCUAUCUAUAAUUACUGAAAGAAGACCCAAAAUACUUUCAACUGUAUUUUCCACUGAACUGAUUCCUUCACUAAGCUUCAUGUCUAGUCCAUUGAUUCUACAAGACUCUUAAUAUUCGAAGUAAACCACUGAUUCCUGGCAUCAAAUUUCCAUUUGAUUUAGUCUUCUAUCUUUCCAGUUAUUACACUGGUUUUUGAACUGUCUAGUGUGAAAAAAUCAUGGCUCGUGAUUGCAAAGAAGCUAUGGCGAUUAAGAGGUGGUCUCUUUACAUUCCUUUCUUAUUCUGGUUCUUGUGUUCAAUCAACUCAACCACUUGCUCGCAAAAUGAGACUGGUCUACAUGUUCCGAUAUCCUUCAAGACGCCAUACAACAAGACCCUUUUCAAGUUCUGAGUUCUUGGAAUGAUUCCCUGCACUUCUGCUAUUGGGUUGGGGUUUCAUGUGGUCGCAGACAUCCUGACAGGGUCGUUGCACUAAAGUUGAACUUACAAGGCUUGGUUGGAUCACUUUCUCCUCAUAUGGGAAAUCUGUCAUUUCUCAGGCGCAUCAAUUUUCAAAAUAAUAGCUUACAUGGCCAUAUCCCACAACAGAUUGGUAAUUUUUGCCGCCUAAAGUAUAUAGAACUUAGCAACAAUUCAUUUCAAGGUAAGAUACCAACUAACUUAUCUCGUUGUUCCAAUAUUAUUUAUCCAAAUCUCAUUAACAACAAGCUAGUGGGGAACAUACCAGCCGAGCUUGGCACUUUACUAAAGCUUGGAGCUCUGGGCCUGGCCAACAAUAACCUCAGAGAAACAUUCCUACUUCCAUUGGAAAUCUAUCUUCUCUUUCAGUAAUUUCACUGACAGUAAAUGCCUUGCAAGGAAAGAUUCAGUGGAAAUCUGUAGACUUUAGAACUUAAAUAUCUGUUAUUUGGAGAUAACAAUCCGGAUGGCCAGAUUCCUCGUGGGCUCUUCAACAUCUCUAGCAUUGUUUAUUUUUUCGUGUAUUUUAACCAACUGCAUGGCAGCAUCCCUUCUGAUAUAGGUCUCACUCUUCCCAAGUUGACCUACCUUUUACUUGCAUUAAUAAUUUCGCAGGACCUAUUCCAAUUUCAUUGUCAAAUGCUACUUCGCAAGUGUCUGCUCUAGUAUGGACUUUGAAGGCAAUGUCAAAGCUUUGAUAUAUGAAUUCAUGGCUAAUGGGAGCUUGGAGAGACAGUUGCAGAUGAAUUCUGCAGAACAGGGUACGCAACAAACAGAAUCAGGAAAACUGAAACUAAUACAAAGACUAAGCAUUGCUAUUGAUAUUGCUUAUGCAAUUGACUAUCUUCAUAACGGUAGCUCGUCAACCAUAAUACAUGGUGAUCUAAAGCCAGGUACUGUUCUUUUGGAUGAGGAGAUGACUGCCCAUAUUGGAGAUUUUGGCUUGGCCAAGAUUGUGUCCUCAACUUCUGGUAAGAUUCAAUAGUAUCAAAGCAAUUCUAUAGCAAUCAGGGGAACUAUCGGCUAUGUCGCUCCUGAAUAUGGCAUGGGUGGCAGUGCUUCUACAGAGGGAGAUGUAUAUAGCUAUGGGAUUCUGUUACUAGAGAUGUUUACUAGAAAUAAACCAGCUGAUGAACCAUUUAAAGAUGGGCUCAGCCUUCAUACUCUUGUCGAGAGA